CAGGGAUCCAUGGUGCCAGGAUGACAGGAAGGAAAGAAGGUGGAUGCCAGUGGAUUAGUAGCAGACCAGGCAGUAAGGCAGUAUUAGUAGCAGAACAGACAGCAGGCAGUAAGGCAGUAUUAGUAGCAGACCAGACAGCAGGCAGUAUUAGUAGCAGACCAGACAGCAGGCAGUAUUAGUAGCAGAACAGACAGCAGGCAGUAUUAGUAGCAGAACAGACAUCAGGCAGUAUUAGUAGCAGAACAGACAGCAGGCAGUAAGGCAGUAUUAGUAGCAGAACAGACAGCAGGCAGUAAGGCAGUAUUAGUAGCAGAACAGACAGCAGGCAGUAUUAGUAGCAGAACAGACAGCAGGCAGUAUUAAGAGCAGAACAGACAGCAGGCAGUAAGGCAGUA
ensembl:lncRNA